GCCCUGAUGGCUCAGUUGGUUAGAGCGCAGGUCUCAUACUUCUGUAUGACCGGUGUUGAUACCGGGCAAUCCUGAGGUCGCAAGUUCGAACCUUGCUCAGGGCA